CAGCUAGUUGGCGAGGUAACGGCUCACCAAGGCAACGACGGGUAGCUGGUCUGAGAGGAUGGCCAGCCACAUUGGGACUGAGAUACGGCCCAGACUCCUACGGGAGGCAGCAGUGGGGAAUCUUGCGCAAUGGCCUAACGGCUGACGCAGCGACGCCGCGUGUGGGAUGAAGCUCCUCGGAGUGUAAACCACUGUUGCCCGGGACGAAUAGCUCGAUUAAUCGAGCCUGACGGUACCGGGUGAGGAAGCACCGGCUAACUCCGUGCCAGCAGCCGCGGUAAUACGGGGGGUGCGAGCGUUGUCCGGAAUCACUGGGCGUAAAGGGCGCGUAGGUGGUUUGAUAAGGGUGUGGUGAAAGUCCGGGGCUCAACCCCGGAUCUGCCGUGCCGACUGUCAAACUCGAGGGCUGUAGAGGCAGACGGAAUUCCGGGUGUAGCGGUGGAAUGCGUAGAGAUCCGGAGGAAGACCGGUGGCGAAGGCGGUCUGCUGGGCAGUUUCUGACACUGAUGCGCGACAGCGUGGGGAGCAAACAGGAUUAGAUACCCUGGUAGUCCACGCCGUAACGAUGGGUACUAGGUGCCUGGGGGAGCGACCCUCUGGGUGCCGGCGCUA
rnacentral:rRNA from 1 species